UGGGGAAUAUUGGACAAUGGGCGAAAGCCUGAUCCAGCCAUGCCGCGUGUGGGAAGAAGGUCUUCGGAUUGUAAAGCACUUUAAGUUGGGAGGAAGGGCAUUAACCUAAUACGUUAGUGUUUUGACGUUACCGACAGAAUAAGCACCGGCUAACUCUGUGCCAGCAGCCGCGGUAAUACAGAGGGUGCAAGCGUUAAUCGGAAUUACUGGGCGUAAAGCGCGCGUAGGUGGUUUGUUAAGUUGGAUGUGAAAGCCCCGGGCUCAACCUGGGAACUGCAUCCAAAACUGGCAAGCUAGAGUACGGUAGAGGGUGGUGGAAUUUCCUGUGUAGCGGUGAAAUGCGUAGAUAUAGGAAGGAACACCGGUGGCGAAGGCGACCACCUGGACUGAUACUGACACUGAGGUGCGAAAGCGUGGGGAGCAAACA
rnacentral:rRNA from 1 species